rnacentral:lncRNA from 1 species
GUUCGCUACAAAAGAUGCUAAGAUCUUUGACAAACCUGAGGAUUUUAUUGCUGAGAGGUUUAUUGGCGAUGGAGAGAAGCUGUUGAAACAUGUGUUUUGGUCCAAUGGACGUGAGACUGAUGAGGCUACACCUGAUAAUAAAAUCUGUCCUGCUAAGAAUCUGGUGGUGCUCUUGUGUAGGUUGUAUUUGGUGGAAUUCUUCUUGAAUUAUGAUACUUUUACCUUUGAUUUUAAACCAUCUGUUUUGGGUCCCACUAUUACCAUCAAGUCACUUGUUAAGGCUUCAUCCACCGUCUGAUCAGUGAUCAUCAUUGAUCCUUACAAGACCUACCUGCAUUUCUAUGGAUUGAGUAAUGUUUUUUUAUGUUAUGUUAAUGUUAAUCAUGUAGUUACAUUAAAUAAAGUUCUUUUUCUGGGUGGGAACUGCACUUAUUGGUAUUGGAAGGAUCGCUGGGUUUGUUUAAUUUAUUUAUUGCUUUGU